GUCACAUGACGUCAAACAAUUAUUGCGUGCAGCUACAAACAUGUAUCAGCUAUCAUUGAUUUUUAGUAUUUGGAGUCCUAUGUUUGAUGUUACACACUUCUUGCUUUCCUUGGUGUUUAACAUGGGCUAAGGCAUUCUUACAAGAUGCGGCGGAUUUAGAUAGGAACACCUCUGUCUUUAAGUUAUUAAUUUUGUGUUUGUAUAAGUGAUGCUGUUUACUAUAUUAUGUAGGACACAGAUCAGAAAAGAAUGGACACUGCAAAAUAAGAUAUCAAUCCACGGAGCGUUAAACAUCUUAUAGUAAUCGCGCAGAUUUGAAAAGAACAACAUCAUCAAAAAUAAAACUGCAAGCGUUUCAAGUUCUACUAAAACAAAACACCAUUUCAAGUCAGUCAUGUGAUCUACACGUGAUUCCAUCCAUCAAACUGGAAUCUACCUGUAAUUUGGAUGUCUGGAGGAAAGUACAAAAAUCUAUUACAAUCUAGUUGAAGACCUGAAGAACAUGCCAAGUACCCUACGUAUUAAAUUAGUAGAAUAAUACAGUAAAUGAAUGUGUGAAUAAAUUUAUUUUUAACAGUA